GAUGAAGAACGCAGCGAAAUGCGAUAAGUAAUGUGAAUUGCAGAAUUCAGUGAAUCAUCGAAUAUUUGAACGCGCAUUGCGACCCUUGGUAUUCCGAGGGGCAUGCCUGUUCGAGCGUCAUUAUAACCCCUCAAGCUCAGCUUGGUGUUGGGGCCUGCUGCACUGGCAGCCCUUAAAAUCAGUGGCGGCGCCAUCUGGCUCUAAGCGUAGUAAUUCUUCUCGCUAUGGAGUCCUGGUGGAUGCUUGCCAUCAACCCCCAAUUUUUCUAUGGUUGACCUCGGAUCAGGUAGGGAUACCCGCUGAACUUAAGCAUAUCAAUAAGCGGAGGA
rnacentral:misc_RNA from 1 species